GACGAACGCUGGCGGCGUGCCUAAUACAUGCAAGUUGAGCGCUGAAGGUUGGUACUUGUACCAACUGGAUGAGCAGCGGACGGGUGAGUAACGCGUGGGGAAUCUGCCUUUGAGCGGGGGACAACAUUUGGAAACGAAUGCUAAUACCGCAUAAAAACUUUAAACACAAGUUUUAAGUUUGAAAGAUGCAAUUGCAUCACUCAAAGAUGAUCCCGCGUUGUAUUAGCUAGUUGGUGAGGUAAAGGCUCACCAAGGCGAUGAUACCUAGCCGACCUGAGAGGGUGAUCGGCCACAUUGGACUGAGACACGGCCCAAACUCCUACGGGAGGCAGCAGUAGGGAAUCUUCGGCAAUGGACGAAAGUCUGACCGAGCAACGCCGCGUGAGUGAAGAAGGGUGUCGGAUCGUAAAACUCUGUUGGUAGAGAAGAACGUUGGUGAGAGUGGAAAGCUCAUCAAGUGACGGUAACUACCCAGAAAGGGACGGCUAACUACGUG
rnacentral:rRNA from 1 species